GGCGUUAUAGUGUAGUGGUUAUCACUCGAGGUUUUGACCAGUUUGUAACACUGUAUCCUCGUAACCCCAGUUCGAACCUGGGUAACGCCU
rnacentral:tRNA from 1 species